UACAGAGGGUGCAACCGUUGUUCGGAUUUACUGGGCGUAAAGCGCGUGUAGGCGGCUUUGCAAGUCGGAUGUGAAAGCCCACGGCUCAACCGUGGAAGUGCAUCCGAAACUGCAUGGCUUGAGUCUCGGAGAGGAAGGUGGAAUGCUUGGUGUAGAGGUGAAAUUCGUAGAUAUCAAGCAGAACACCUGCGGCGAAGGCGGCCUUCUGGACGAUGACUGACGCUGAGACGCGAAAGCGUGGGGAGCAAACAGG
rnacentral:rRNA from 1 species